GACGAACGCUGGCGGCGUGCCUAAUACAUGCAAGUUGAGCGCUGAAGGUUGGUACUUGUACCAACUGGAUGAGCAGCGAACGGGUGAGUAACGCGUGGGGAAUCUGCCUUUGUGCGGGGGACAACAUUUGGAAACGAAUGCUAAUACCGCAUAAAAACUUUAAACACAAGUUUUAAGUUUGAAAGAUGCAAUUGCAUCACUCAAAGAUGAUCCCGCGUUGUAUUAGCUAGUUGGUGAGGUAAAGGCUCACCAAGGCGAUGAUACAUAGCCGACCUGAGAGGGUGAUCGGCCACAUUGGGACUGAGACACGGCCCAAACUCCUACGGGAGGCAGCAGUAGGGAAUCUUCGGCAAUGGACGAAAGUCUGACCGAGCAACGCCGCGUGAGUGAAGAAGGUUUUCGGAUCGUAAAACUCUGUUGGUAGAGAAGAACGUUGGUGAGAGUGGAAAGCUCAUCAAGUGACGGUAACUACCCAGAAAGGGACGGCUAACUACGUG
rnacentral:rRNA from 1 species